rnacentral:rRNA from 1 species
GACAGAGGGUGCAAACGUUGUUCGGAAUUACUGGGCGUAAAGCGUGUGUAGGCGGUCCACUAAGUCGGGUGUGAAAGCCCUGGGCUCAACCCAGGAAGUGCACUCGAAACUGGUGGGCUAGAGUAUCGGAGAGGUUGGUGGAAUUCUCGGUGUAGAGGUGAAAUUCGUAGAUAUCGAGAGGAACACCGGUGGCGAAGGCGGCCAACUGGACGAAUACUGACGCUGGGACACGAAAGCGUGGGGAGCAAACAGG